GCCAACACUAGCCCUAAGCAUAACCAACACUAAUACCAAACCAACAUGCACUAAACCAUUCACCUACACAAAGUAUAGGCGAUAGAAAUUUUAAUCUGGCGCUAUAGACACAGUACCGUAAGGGAAAGAUAAAACCCACCCAAGCACAAAACAGCAAGGACUAACUCCUGUACCUUUCGCAUAAUGAAUUAGCUAGAAACAAUUUCACAAAGAGGACUACAAGCCAAAUUCCCCGAAACCAGACGAGCUACCCAAAAACAGCUAAAAGAGCGCACCCAUCUAUGUGGCAAAAUAGUGGGAAGAUUUCUGGGUAGAGGUGACAAGCCUAUCGAGCCUGGUGAUAGCUGGUUAUCCAAGACAGAAUCUUAGUUCAACCUUAAGCUUACCUACAGAACCACCUAAUCCCCCUGUAAGCUUAAUUGCUAGUCUAAAGAGGGACAGCUCUUUAGACACUAGGAAAAAACCUUGUAGAGAGAGUAAAACCCUCAACUACCAUAGUUGGCUUAAAAGCAGCCAUCAAUUAAGAAAGCGUUCAAGCUCAACACUAACCACCCCAAAAAUACCAAACACAUAACUGAACUCCUCACACCACAUUGGAUUAAUCUAUCACCAUAUAGAAGCAAUAAUGCUAGUAUAAGUAACAUGAAUAUUUUCUCCACUGCAUAAGCCCAAAUCGGAUCGAAAACCUCACCGAUACCUAACAGCCAGGCAUAGCAAGCACAAACAAGCCCAUGCUACCUUCACUGUUAACCCAACACAGGCAUGCCUCAAGGAAAGGUUAAAAAAAGUAAAAGGAACUCGGCAAACUUAAACCCCGCCUGUUUACCAAAAACAUCACCUCUAGCAUUACUAGUAUUAGAGGCACUGCCUGCCCAGUGACACACGUUUAACGGCCGCGGUACCCUGAC
rnacentral:rRNA from 1 species